rnacentral:rRNA from 1 species
ACUCAAAGGAAUUGACGGGGGCCCGCACAAGCAGCGGAGCGUGUGGUUUAAUUCGAGGCUACACGAAGAACCUUACCUGGGUUUGACAUAUGGGUAGUAGGGAAGCGAAAGCGGACCGACCUUCGGGAGCUCAUACAGGUGCUGCAUGGCUGUCGUCAGCUCGUGCCGUGAGGUGUUCGGUUAAGUCCGCAAACGAGCGCAACCCCUGGGAGUAGUUACAGGUGUCUACUCCGACUGCCCGUGAGAAACGGGAGGAAGGUGGGGAUGACGUCAAGUCAGCAUGGCCUUUAUAUCCAGGGCUACACACACGCUACAAUGGGCGGUACAAUGGGUAGCCAAGUCGCGAGAUGGAGCCAAUCCACAAAGCCGUUCGUAGUUCGGAUUGCAGGCUGCAACUCGCCUGCAUGAAGUCGGAGUUGCUAGUAACCGCAGGUCAGCUAUACUGCGGUGAAUACGUUCCCGGGCCUUGCACACACCGCCCGU